GGGCCCGCACAAGCGGAGGAGCAUGUGGUUUAAUUCGAUGAUACGCGAGGAACCUUACCCGGGCUCGAACGGUAGUGGAAUGUGUGUGAAAGCAUACAGCUAGCAAUAGCCGCUGUCGAGGUGCUGCAUGGUUGUCGUCAGCUCGUGCCGUGAGGUGUCGGCUUAAGUGCCAUAACGAGCGCAACCCUUAUCUUUAGUUACCAUCAGGUCAAGCUGGGGACUCUAGAGAGACUGCCGCCGUAAGGUGAGAGGAAGGUGGGGAUGACGUCAAAUCAGCACGGCCCUUACGUCCGGGGCUACACACGUGUUACAAUGGGUGGGACAGAGAGGAGCAAGUUAGCGAUAAUGCGCGAAUCUUCAAACCCGCUCUCAGUUCGGAUCGAAGUCUGCAACCCGACUUCGUGAAGCUGGAUUCGCUAGUAAUCGCGCAUCAGCCAUGGCGCGGUGAAUACG
rnacentral:rRNA from 1 species